GCCCAGGUGGUGGAACUGGUAGACACGCAGGACUUAAAAUCCUGUUGCCAUUGCGGCAGUGCGGGUUCGAUUCCCGCCCCGGGUA
rnacentral:tRNA from 1 species